rnacentral:lncRNA from 1 species
AAAACCCCUACCAACCACCAAAAAUUAGACAAAUAAAAGAAAACAAAAACAAAAGCAAAGAAAAUGCUUUAAAAAUUUAACUCGGAGAGCCAUAAUCUGCAGCUUCAUUUACCCCCAAGGAAGAGAAAAAGAGCACUACCAAUAUUACCACUGCCCCAACCCUACACACGUGAACUGAGUCAAAAAAGAAAACCAAACGAAAGCAAAGGUGAAAUUUGGGGUAGGGAAGCUAGUUAUUCUGUCUGUGUGUUUAAUUUUUCCCUUUAAGUCUCACCUCCAGCCUGUCCAUAUCCUCUUUAUUUUCCCUGUUCCAAGGAGACUCCAAAGGCUGCACUCCAGGGAAGAGAGUGGGAGCACAGCUCAAAGAGGGUUGAGGUCCAAAGGCUGUUUAGGUGGAAUCCAAGUUUCCACACAGUGGCUACUUUUGUGUGGUCUAUCCCAGAUUGGUGAAAGUCUUAGAAAGUGAGAAUUACUGUCUUUGAGCUGUCUAAAAGGCAGAAUUUAGGGUCUCUGAAGUAAAUAUUUUAUUCUAGUAAAGUAAAACAAUUAUAGCAAGAUUUUUCUCUUUUAAUUUUUGUUCCUAAGAUCUAGAAAACAGACUAUUUCAAAAUAAGCUCCCCCAACACACACACUUAGGAUACUUUAGCUUGCCCUUUUAUUUUUCAGAGUGUGCUUUAUUUCAAACUAUCUGCUUUUUUUGGGGGGGGAGGUCCCCCUCCUAUUUAUUUAAAUAGACUUCGGGGGUAGAAAAUAUUAGGAAAGAUACUUUCAUUUUCCAUUUUCAUCACUGAAUAAGGCUCAUCUUGCUCUUCUAGGUCCCCUUUCUUCCUCUCUUGGAGAACCUGAAGUCGUUGAAAUGUUGAGAAGUUUCUGCUUUCAGUUGGGGCAGGACUUGGCUGUGAGAAAAUCACCUAAAUCCCAGAAGAGAGGAAAACAGAUUUAAAGGUCUUCCCCCAACUCAUUUGUUUCCAAAAAGUCUGCAUGUUCCCCUGGGGGAAAGCAGAACAACUGUUUCCUUUUUGUUACUAUUAACCAAGAGUCAUUUAUUACUGGGGAUAAAUGUUGGAUAGCAAGAACUUUAAUUUGCACUAUCAGUUGCUCAAAUAGAAAAUCGUGUAUAGUAUUUCAUAGUAAUAAUCAAGGUACCUUCCAAGCUGCUGAUGGAUUGGGGGGGGAAAUGAGACAGUUAAAGGUGGUUAGGUAAAAUGCCUUUGUAUACAAAAUACUCUUUGGAUCUCAUGUGGAGAUGGUUUAUUACCAUCCUUAAACCAUAACUAAAUAUUACAGAACAAAUGAGAAAAGGAAGAAAAAGCCCCUGCCAUUUAACAAUACUGAAAUCAUGCAUGAUCUGAAAGGUGCAGAAAGAAACACAAUUAGGUCUCACUCUGGUUAGGCAUUAUUUAUUUAAUUACGUUGUAUAUCAUUGUUUGCAGCGCAAACAUUCUAUGCAUUUGAAACUGAGCACUAAACUGGGCUAGCUUUCUGGUAGACCGUUUUGUGGAUAGUGUGAUUUCACAGUCUACUGCCUGUUUCCACUGAAAACACAACAUUCUUGUCAUAUUCUUGUAUUUAGAGGAAAAGGAAAAAAAGGAAGAUUAUUGUAAAUAUUUUAUUUAAUGCGCACACACACACACACACACACACACAGUGGUUACAAACUGCCAGUGUUAAUCCUGAAAUGUCUCACGGAUUGAGCUAACUGUCCAUGUAUGUCUGCUGAGCUUUCUCCUUGGUUAUGUCAUUGCUCUCCUACCUGCCUCUUCCCCCACUUCUAUCAGAACCAUUUUUGUGCGCCAAAAUACAACAGGGGGAUGUGUCCUAGUACACUUACAAAUAAAACAUAACUGAAAGAAGAGCAGUUUUAUGAUUUGGGUGCAUUUUUGUGUUUAUAUUGAGCCAAGUCCUGGCAGUCGUUCAACAAAUAAUUCAACCAAAAAAUUCAACCAACAACAAAUAAAGAAAAGUGGGGUGAAGGGGAGGAUAUCAAAAGG